rnacentral:rRNA from 1 species
AUACGUAGGUGGCAAGCGUUGUCCGGAAUUACUGGGCGUAAAGGGUGCGUAGGCGGUUGUUCAAGUCAGAUGUGAAAUACCCGGGCUUAACCUGGGGGGUGCAUUUGAAACUGGAUGACUGGAGUGCAGGAGAGGAAAGCGGAAUUCCUGGUGUAGCGGUGGAAUGCGUAGAUAUCAGGAGGAACACCGGUGGCGAAGGCGGCUUUCUGGACUGUAACUGACGCUGAGGCACGAAAGCGUGGGGAGCGAACAGGAUUAGAUACCCUGGUAGUCCACGCUGUAAACGAUGGAUACUAGGUGUAAGGGGACACGACCCCCCUUGUGCCGGAGUUAACGCAAUAAGUAUCCCGCCUGGGGAGUACGGCCGCAAGGUUGA